AUACUUACCUGGACGGGGUCGAUGGCUGAUAAGAAGAGCCAUGGCCUAAUUCAAUGACCUGUGUUGCACUUUGGAGGAGUAUUGGCUUACGUAAUAUUUUAUGGCAGAGGAUAAUUUAUGGCUCGCGCGGCCCCUACCAAAGUAUUUA
rnacentral:snRNA from 15 species